UAUGUUUUCAAUUUAAUUUAGGUGAUUGCUUUUUUUUUUCACUUCUAGAAUUUCCCUGGGUUAUUUAUGGAGGCUAGGUGUCUGGUGCUGUUGCCCACUUGGCUGUCAGUUUUCAUAGGCGACAUAGUUAUGAAAGCCUAACUAGUAUCCAGUCACAUGUGCAUUUCCUUCUGUUAUAACCUUUGUUCCACUUCUCGGCAUCCUUUAAUGUUUUUCUUAUGUUACAUCAUAUUUAUUUUGUGGCGGCAGGGACAUGAUCCUACGUGUUUGAGGUCAGGACAGGUUUCAACUGUGUGUUCUUGCAGGUCCUCAGGUUUGGUGGCCAGAACUUUACUCACUGAGACAUUUUUUAAUUUGAUGCUAAGCAGUGUGUAAGAGAAUACCACAGAGGCUCUGGCCAGUGUUGAUGUUUCCCUCCAGGGAAAACUUACGCCGUUCCUGGGCUGGAAAACGGGAGCUAAACUGACUUUUAAAAGACUCCAUUUACUUCUGGGCUGUUGACCAUAGACGAAAUUUUCAUUCCACUGCUUGUUCAGCAAGAACACAUCGAGUACUGCCAAGUGGACCCGUGAGCAAGCCAGAAACCUCACCACAAAGUAAACCUUUCCUUAGUGGAGUUUAACUUCUAGUCACCUCUCUAGGAGACCUAGAAAAUGCUAAUAGUUGAUUUUACUUGGGACCAGCUUCCUGAAGAAAUGAGAGUCCAGGCUUCUCUUCUUCCACGGCCAGGAAGGCUCACACAGCUCUUCUCUUGACACGCGGAGCAGUGACCGAAGGGGACCAGUAAGGUCAGCAGCGUGGCAGCCCCAGCAGCCAGAUUUCCCUCUUGGGAAUGCAAACUGACAGACCUUUGGGACUGGAGAAGAAGGUCCACAGUUUUGAGCACUUGCUGCGCUUGCAGAAGACCCAGGCACCACGCCAGUGUCUCACAGUCCUGUAUUUAUGGACUACCCGCUGUAUGCUGGACACCAAGGCUAUGGUAAAGGAUAGGAGGACAUGGCAGAGCAGGAGGUGCUUUGGACUCCGAGAUGGAUGUGAGGUGGACGUCAUCGCUAUAGACUUUCAGACAAAAAAGCAGAGUCGGGAGAGGACUGACCCAGCUGGAAGGUGUGCCAAUCCUGUAGUCAUCUGUCUAGAGAGAUAGACUUGGACCCGAAUGAGAGUGAAAUAGGUCAUCUAGCAGAAAUGAUUUGGGGACUUGAGUACCCUGUCUUUUAAAAAGUUUUAUUUUGAUUGACAAGAGUUGUGCUUUUUCCCCUGGGGUCCAGUGUGACAUUUCAAUAUAGGUCGGUGGGCAUUGUGUCCUGCCAAAAUCAGUGUAAUACGGACACCAUCAAUACCCCACUUUCUGGAUGGAUGGAACAAACAGAUAGAAGAUCAAUAUGGAAACUGAAGUCUGAGAACGCUAUUAAUCUAGAUCAUUAGAUUUAGAGCAAGUCUCCUGGAGUUUGUCUCUACUAGGUGUGAAACACCCCACCCAGCAAUAGCAGGGCACACACUCUCCUGUUCACGCGGGGGUGUUCUCUAGUGGAGACCACACAGCAUCCUGUACAGCGAACCUUAAUGUGUUUAAAGGUGUUGGAGUCAGGAUGUAUUCUCAUUAGAGUGGAGUGAAUGAAUUGGUGACCGCAGGGUGAGCGGAACACAGCUGUCAUGCCUGUGCCCCGUGCGAACAAGACAGGAAGAACUUCAAGGAGAGCAAGAGCAGAGUGAGACUCUGGCCAAAAGUACAAAUAAGGAAAAGUUUAUGCCCCACAUGUUUCAACCAGGGGGCAGCAAUAGAAACCCUGCCGAAAACAAUUUGGUUCCGUUGUAGUAGGAGUAUUGCUGUGACAGACCUGACCAUGUUUUAGGGAGGAUUGGGGAAGGACUUUGGGACUUCAGGCUAGAAAAGCCAUUGAGUGUUGAGAGCUCAGUGGAAUGUUCUGUAGGGGCUCGGAAGAUAAGCAGUGCAGAAGAUGGAACCUUGGCUUGUGAAGUUUCAGAGAGAAAUUUCAAGGCUCUAUCAUGGCUGUUCGCUGUUUUGAGUGUAGAUUCGACAGAAUGGUAGUUCUGGCCAGCUGGGGCAGACGAGUUGGUAGCGAUGAACAAGAGACUGGCGCCAUUGAAAUGAAGCCUUUGAGUUACUGUGACAAUUGAUGAUGGUUAGCUGGAACCAAGAAAUUAGCAAAGCUUACAAGGCCAGCAUCACUGAUGUGAAAUCUUCUGGGGAGUGUUUCCUGAGAGCCAGCAUACAGAAAUUGUGUCCCAGAGGCAACCAAGGUUGAACUUUGAGUUGGCAACCAAACUUCGUAGCGUCUGAGCCACUCAGGUGGUAUUAGUUUUGAAGGCAUGAUGGGAUCAUGAAGAGCAGCUGAGGCUUGGCACUAUGAGAGGCCAGGAAAGUCCAGUCAUGAAGGUGCAGCCUCAGAGGCAGUUGACGAUCCAGGAUCAAAGGGGUUAUGUAGAGAAGUUGAGGCUUGGCACUAUGAAGAGAGCAUAGCAGACUGUUGGUUAAAGUGCAGCCCAGCUACGGCAGAAGACCCUGGCGUUUCAGAGAUGCCAAUGUUGUGGGAUGACCGCCAAGAACAGCAGCAGCAGUGGAGUGGAGCCAACGGAGUCCAGAAGACAAACUGUGCGCUACAGAGGGCGGAGCCAGACAAGUGACCUACGCCCCCUGGGAGGAGCCCAGAAGAUGGAGCCUUGUUUCAUGUUUUUAAUACAUCAGUGGUAAGCUGGAAGCAUCGACCGUCUGCUCUGUAGUUACAGUCCCUCUCCUCCCAAGAAUGUCUCCUGGAUUGUUGCCAAAUUCACAAAGCCAAAGAGCCACCAUGAGAAUUCUGCCUGGGAGGGAAAAGCAGCUUAAAUGAAACUUCGGAAUGUCUUGUGAGAUGCUGGAUUACAGAGAGAGUCCCUUCUGCCACCUGGGACAGUGACAGAGCCAUGAGGAGUGGCACACACCUGUAAUCUCGGCCCCAAGAGGCUGAGGGAACUCUCCCUCUGCAGCAGUCCCAGGAUCUUAGAGGCCCCGUGCCUCUAUGACAUCCAGUUCAUGGUGGUAGUCAAGAAGUUGCUCCUCUUCCCCGUGACUCUAGGCAGACACAGCAAAGGUAAUUGUACAUUCUCCUCCCAGUGUUGGUGGCUAGCAAGAUGGUCUGUUUGGAUUGACAGAGCACGAUUGUGUGCUGAUCCUUGAUCUGCAGGUGAGAUUAACCUCGACACAGAACACAGGACUAUGAGCAGAGGAGAGGUGUCCUCUCAUGGGAGGCCCAAGUGCUGAGACUAAAACGUGGUGCUUUUGGUGACAGCCGUGGUACCCCACUCUUGCUGCCUGAUCAUCAUGGUCAUGGUCAAAGGUUUAUAAAGCCCUUUGCGUUCAGAUGCACGGGCUUGUUGGUACUGAUUCACCAUGAAGGCUGUGGUCCAUGGGUGGAACUAUCCUGGACAGAGCCAGGUGACACACUUCCUGGCUCUUCUAGGAUCAUUCAGGUGCUAAGUUCUUGAGCCUUGUUGGGAACCUGAGUCAUCUGGCUACAUCGAGUAUAGUCAGGAGCAGGCUUGAGUGCUGGUACUCAGCUUUCUUCUUUUGAUUCAGUCCAGGCACCCAGCCCCUGGGACAAAGCCAGUUCCUUUAGAGUGUACCUUCUCAUCUUACAAACAUGUCCAGAUGUUUGUCUCUUAGGCUACCUAAGCCCUGUCAAGUGACAAAGGUAACAGUUAUAACCUCUAUACCUUCACAAGAGCAAGGCGUAAUGGAGGGAGGAGGGUGCCUUGCUUUAGAGUAGGGCUUUGGACUGUCUCUAGAAUGAGCCAAGAAGUUUAGAGUUGAGGUUGAAGUUCUUUCAGUAGAAUGACAGUGGGUUUUGCCUGGAGCAUCUUUUCUCUCCCAAGCCUUAGUAACAUCAGCAGCUGAGUGUAAAGUCAGAGCCCUGACAUUGGUGGAGCUCCUCAUGGACACCAUAUUUGGAGGUAAUCCAACUCAUUUUGUUCUGUUUUGUUUUUCAUCAGCAAACGUAUCAUCAUGGGACCUCUCACAUGAUUUGCUUGAUAGCAAGGACAAACUGACUAAGCAAUUGUAUUCCUCACGGUCAGUGGAUAGUUCAGAGUCAUGACGGAAGCACCAGCUUCAGUUUCAUGGGAGUCUGCCUCUAGAAAAGUGAGUCCUGUUUUAGAAUUACGGAGUCAGGCACCUUGAUUGUUGCAAACAGAGAUAAUCAGAAAGCAGUAGCGCCAAAAUAGCUGAUAUCCAUGAGAAAAGGUGCUCGGUGCCCCGCUGAAAGAAAUGCAAAUCAGCACGCAGCAUCAUCUCCAUCUUUCAGAGUGGAAGAGCAAAUGAGAACACCGAGAAGACUUGGUUUAUGCUAGAGAGGCUGGCAGGUGGGGCGCGGCUCUUCAUCGAGGCUGGGAACACACCCUUUCAGCAAGUCCAUUCUGCAUGUGUAUUAACAUCUCGCUGUGUACAUUAUCCACUCUAGUGAUUCUAUUUUUAAGAGCGUGCUCGGAGAAACCCUUGUGUGGGACGAUGAAGAUGCACGUGAAAGAUUGUUCAAAUAUACAUUUUCUGUUGUAGGAAAAAUAUGGACAUAAUCUAGGACCCUGCCAGCUAGACUGACCAACGGGGCAAGUUCUGGGGUUCUCAACCAACAGGUUGUGACUCUUGGAGGGGGUAGAACAAUCCUUUUACAGGGGCCACCUAAGACCAUCUGCAUAUAAGCUAUUUACAUUACAAUUAAUAACAGUAUCAAAAUUCCAGUUAUGAAGUAGCAAUGAAAAUAAUUUUAUGUUUGGGGACCGCCGCAACAUGAGGAACUGUGUUAAAGGGUCACAGCAUUAGGAAGGUUGGGCACACUGCAUUAGAGUGGAGACUACCAGCCAGGGUGACCAAUUGGAAUGGUGGCCUAGCUUUUCUCCUUCUGUCACUCCUGUAGAAAGAUGUUCUCACGUUGUAGUGUGCUUCCAGACCAGCUGCAGAGGAUGUCCUUGCAAGCACAGUGCUUGCUCUGAAGGGAAGAAGAGAGUUUAUUUUGAGCCACAUGUGAGAGAAUCCAUCCAGGAAAUGGAGUCACUUUGCCCUCCUGACCUAUUCUGCUGUGGGAGAUUACAUGCAGCUUCCCUAGUCACAGAAGAAAAUAAAGUUAUACAUCAAUGCAUUUACCAGAAGCCCUUGGUCGGGGCAUCAGACAGUUUUCCUUUGUGGGAGACACUACAUGGGUGAAGAGCAGAUAUGGAGGGACAGGAAAAUGAGUGGAAUUGGGGUUUAUGAUAUGAAAUUCCCAAAGAAUCAAUAAAAUUAUGUGAAUAAAAAGGUAAAGGGUAAUAAUGGAACAGAAAGGGUUGAGGUAGAAGAUUGGAAGGCAGGACAGAGGAAGGAAUAAAGGGAGGGAUAACUAAUAAUAAAUGUUAUAUUUGAUUACACUGUGUAAAGAUAUGUCACUGUGAUUGGUAUAAUAACAAACUGAAUGGUCAAUAACUAGGCAGGGGUAUAGGGAGACCUCUGGGUAGAGAGAACUCUGUGAAGAAGAAAGGUGGAGUUGCCAACCAGAUGCAGAAGAAGCAUGAUGGACAAAACGGAUAUGAGGUAAUGAGCAUGUGGAAGAACAUAGAUUUAAAAAAUACAGGUUAAUUUAAGUUAUAGGAGCUAGUUAGAGACAAGCCUAAGCUAAGGUCAGGCUUUCAUAAUUAAUAAUAAAUCUCCUGGUUGUUUUUUUUUUUGUGAUCUGGCAGCCCAAAAGAAAAAUCUGCCUGCAAAUGGCAUCCAGUGUGAGACUUGAACCCACAACUCUGAGAUUGAGAGUUUCAUACUCUACUGACUGAGCUAGUUUCCCUUGUUACCAAAUUAUGUAAGAGAUGUAAAGUUUAUAAGGUUGGAAAACAUAAAAGCUUAAGUUUAUCUGAAAAGAUGUUUUAAGAUCUCAAAAGAUAUUUUUAGGAUGGUAAUACAUGUUUUGAUGAAAUGAUUUACAUACAGAACUUUGGACUGAGGUAGGAUAGAUAAUAAGUUUUCUCUAAAUUUGCCAUAGUAUAGAUAAAAAAGUAUUUCUUUAAAUUUGCCAAUGUAAAUGGACAGGACAUUAUAAAUUUAAUCCUUACCUGAAAAUUAUUCUUUUUUAAUAUUUAUUUAUUAUGUAUACAAUAUUCUGUCUAUGUGUAUGCCUGCAGGCCAGAAGAGGGCACAGAUGGUUGUGAGCCACCAUGUGGUUGCUGGGAAUUGAACUCAGGACUUUUGGAAGAGCAGGCAAUGCUCUUAACCUCUGAGCUAUCUCUCCAGCCCCCCCUGAAAAUUAUUCUUAUUGUUUAUAGUUUUAUUAUGUUAGCAUUAAAACCUUUCCUUUUUAUUUCGACAAAAAGGGGAAAAUGUUGUGGAAUAUUCCUUUACAGUAUGUGAAGAUGUGUCACUGUGAUUGAUUUAAUAAGGAGCUAAAUGGCCAUUAGCUAGGCAGGAAGAGGUUAGGUGGAACUUCUGGAAACAGAGAGUUAUGGAAAGAAGAAAAGGUUGUUGCCAGUUGCAGAAUGGGGAGUACAGAGUAAAGUUAACAGAGCCAAAUAAAAGAAUGUAGAUUAAAGAUAUGUGUUAAUCUAAGUUAUAAGAACUAGUUAGGAACAAGCCUAAGCUGUGGUCAAGUUUUCAUAAUCAAUAAUAAGUCCCCACAUUGUUUUUUUUUUUUUGUGUGUGUGUGUAUGUGUGAGAUGAUGGCCCAAAGAAAAAUCUUACAAAAAGGAUCUUUCAAAAAAUCUUAUGGGAAUCUACUACUAUAGAAGUAUAUUAGCCAGGGUUCUCUAGAGAAACAGAACUUAUAGGAUGAAUCACUUUCUAUACAGAAACAGGAUUUAUUAAAGUGGGUUAUAAGUCAUGGUCCAACUAUUCUAACAACAACAAGACUGGAUGUAUCUGCUGGUGUCCAGUAUAUGCUGGAAUUCCAAAGAAGUAGGAUCUAAUACCAGUGAAAAAAACCUGCCCACGAGAGUGAGGGCCAACAGAAAAAGAUAAAGUACUUUCUUCUUCAUGUCCUUUAUAUAAGCUGCCACCAAAAGGUGUCACACCGAGUUAAGAUGAAUCUUUCAUCUUGAAUUAUUUGAUCAAGAAAAAUCCCUCACAGGUAUGCCCAGUGCCUUGGGUUUUAGUUAAUUCCAGAUGUAGUUAAUUUGAUAACCAAGAGUAGCCAUUACAAGAAGCUUCCAUGUCUAUAUCUAUAUUUAAAGUGGAAUCAUCCUAUUGUGUGUGUGUGUGUGUGUGUGUGUGUGUGUGUGUGUGUGUGUGUGUAGAAGACCCAUCCUGAUGGCAUCACAUACUUGAACGAUGGAACAUGGAGAAAUCAAGUUGGUACCAACCUGGAAGCUUUAUUCCUACUCGUCAACUGUCAUAGUGCUGGAAGGAGCUAUGCAUGCUACUCGAGGAGAAAUUAAUCAUUAACCAUGCUCAACUGUGACCCCAUGAGCAAGAGCAAUGACUGAUCUGGCAAGACUUGUCCACUGGUGCAAUAAUGGCACUUAUGUUAUGGGAGUACUUUCUGAUUGCGUUUAAGACUUCCAAGAUGGAACUCAUGCUUAGAGCUGCUAUCAGGGCCAAAACCAUGUGGCCAAACAUCUCCUAAGUCCUAGGGAAGCACAUACCAUGAUUGUUCUACUAAAUGGACUAUGAUGGAUAAUCUUGGUGGCAAACUUGACCACAGCUGGAAUCAACUAAAAUCCAAGCUACUGGGAAUUCCUGGGAGGGAUUUUUCUUGGUUAGAUUAUUUGAAGCAGGAAGGCCCACCCUCAGUUUGAACCACACCUUCUGGUGCAGCCUAGAUAAGAGGAUGCGGAAGAAGGACUGUUUCCUUUGUGCCCAGUUGCCCUUACUCCUGCUGGCAAGUUUAUCUACCCUAUUUCUGCAUUUUUCUUCACCGGCUUCCCCAGGAUUCCAGCAUAGACUGAAGACCAGCAGCUCUUUAAGAAUCCUCAAGGCCCCCAGCAUCAGAUGGGAACUGCUGAGACAUUCAGUCUCAUAGGCUGAACAGCAACUGGAUUCUUGGCUUUUCUAAUGUGAGACGGCCAUUGUUGAACCACAUCCUACCGAGCAGACCUCAAAGGAGAAGAUGAGGAAUUGCUUCUGGAGGAAGGCCUGCCUCAAACUGAAGAAAUGAAAUAAGAACUAGGAAUCAAAGGACCUCUAUGAUGGGAGUGAGACCUAUAAGAUGGUGGCCUGGUGCUAAAUCAAAUUUAUAGCUUGUAGGAGGUCUUUGAACCAGGUGCGGCAGUGGUCAGGGAAGGCACCCAUAUGUCAAUCAGUAAUCAGGCAGGCAGGACCCUUGCUGUCCACGGUACUGAAUUCCAUCCAUUUGCCUAUAGGAGAGGAACACCAGCAAGCCCACCAGGGGAAGUAAAAUUCAACUGUUUUGGAAGCUAAAACCUCUCCAGGAAGGCGGGCACAAUUAAGUUGAGUCUAUUUGAACUAGGUAUCUUGGGUCAUCUAUACAACUGGGGUGGGGGGUGUCUCUGUCCAAACACCACUGAACUCCUGGCUGGGUCCCAAGCUUGGCAUCUUCACAUUAUGUAUUUCUUCUGUCUGUAGUCAGCACAGGCAGGCUGUUAUGCUUGUUGCCUGAUGAUGAAGGUAUGACAAAGUUCCUCACACUUUGGUCAAGCUCAGGUCCCUCUUGAUGGGUGACAUGAGGCCUCAGCCAUAGAGGUGCCUGCUCCCAGAGCUGGAACUGGUAUUACUAGAUCCACAACCCCCAAAGUAUGUGUCGGUGGCUUUUUGUUGACAUCUACAAGAGAACUUCUGACACUUGAGCAGGUUAUCAUCUUGUUUGUUUCUUCCCUGGGACAUUUCAAAUUUCAAAAUUUUCAGCGUCUGAAACCAUUUUAAAGGUCGGUAUUGUCUUCAAGACUCCCACACCACACUCACGCCAAUGAACAGGACCCAUUCACAUUUCUGUUUACAGGGAGUAUAAAGCAAAACAUGCAGAUUAAAAUGGAUGGUCUUAUUUAAUUGGUCUUUGUUUCUUAACUCACUAUCUCUCUCCCUCCAGGUCCUGGCCUCUUACAUCCCUUGCUGUGCUCUGUGAUCCAUCAGAGCCCUCGGCUCAGCAGCUGUAAUUGCUUCGUAACUUCCUGGGAUGUCAAAGCCAAGAUGGAAAUUUUACGUAUCACUCUACCAAUUCCGUCCUGGCUUUAAUAAUAAGCUGGCAGAGAGGAAGGCAGAUUUACAGCAGGAGAGAAAUGUAAUCAAAUUUGGAGGUAAAAUGCAAUAAGUACAAAUGCUGGUUUUCAUUUGGAAGCUUCUCAGAUAAAUGUGAUCUCACACGGCUCCACAGGCAAGCCCUUUGUUUCUUCUCCGGGAACAGUGGGCCACCCCGAUGCAACAGUGAUUCUCGAAGGAACAGUCCUCCCUGAGGUCCCACGCUCUGUCCCAGCAGAGGUUCUGGUGACUGGAGGGGGAUGGCUGGAGAGGCAGAAAAUGUCAGCUGGAUAAAGUUAUAGUUUGGGUGUGAAAAAUGGCUUGUGUGUUUGAACACUUGCUCCCCAGCUGGUGGUGUUCUGGGAGGUUGUGGAUGGAACCUUUGGGAUGAGAGGCGUGGCUGCCUGAUGUGGUGAUAGCCUGACCCACUUCUGGUCCAAGGUCACCAUUUCUUGAUUUGCUACACAGCAAGUUCCUGUCAUUGCACACUCAUCCACCCAGAGCCACACCCUUUCUGCCAAGAUGGGCCUUUAUCCCCUGAAGCAUGAGCCAGAGUAAGUGCUUCCUUGCAUUAGCUGCUUCUGUCUGAAAAGUAACUAAUACAGAGAAUAAUGAUUACUUGGAGCCUCUGAUAGGCUAAACGCCAGGGAAUAGAGAACUGAACACACACCAGUGUUAAUUCCUCCCAAGUCUCACCUGUCUCAUCCUUGUGGCCACCUUGUAAUAUUAAGCAUGAUAGUCUUUCUAUAGUGUAGUGAGAACACAGUGAGGUAUAGGGAGAGGAUUCUCAACAUUAGUGGGGUGGGAUUCUGUUAGAAUUUUUCUUACCUUUCUCUACAGAAUAAAAAUGGUUAAUGUUUCUUAUAAGGCCCCCUCCCACAAGAUACUCACAAUCCUCUUGUUAAGGCUGGGAUAAUAGGUGUGUCGACCAUCCCCAAACUAGUUACAGCUUAUACCUCUUCACCCGUCUCUGCCUGUCAGUGUAGGUGCAUGUGGAGGCCAAGGGUGACAUCAGCAUGUCUUUCCUUACUCGGGUCCUUUGGCUCCCUCUGAACCUGAAACUCAGUUUCUGAUUGGCUGGCUUGCUCAUGAGCCCCGAGGAUCCUUGUGUCCCUGAUCCCCAGCCCUGCAAUUAUCAGCAUGUGCAGCUGCACCUGGCUCUUCUGCGGGUUCUGAAGAUUUGAAUGUAGAUCCUUGUGCUUGCAUGGUCAGCACUUUCCCUGCCGAGCAUCUCCCCAGCUCCUAGUGUUUCUUGGAGAAUCAUCCAGUGGGUUCGUCUCUAGAACUCACCCAAAUACUUCAAUACAGUAAAUAUUAUAAUAAAUUAUUGUCCUAAUUUUUAACCCUCCACCUAUUAGGUGAGAAUAUGAUACCAAGGUUAAUUUCCUUGCCAAAGUUUGUGAGAAGAUAUUCAACACCAUCAGCCAUUUGGAAAUGCAAAUUAGCUCUCCAUGAGAUGACACCACACAUCUAUUGUCACAGUCUAAAUACAAGACAGUGGAACACUAACGGCUGUUGAGGGUGCGGAGGGCCUAGGAAUCUUGGUCAUUGUUGGUGGCAAAAAUAGGAUGACAUGCUCUCAAAAAGGGGAGGACAAUUUCCUACAAAAUUACAAGGGUCCUGUUUUCCCCAGAGAGGUGGAGACUGAUGAGCACUCAAAAGCCUCUGCAAGAUUGUUCAUAGCAGUUUCAUUGAUAAACACUCCUAAUGGGAGACAACCCAAAUGGUCUCCAUUGGCAAAUAGUUAAACAGACUGUGGCCAUCUGUAAAGUGUCGUCAGUACUGUGAAUUCCCCGUCAGCAAUCUAAACACAUAAGGAGCAAAGUGUCAACGUGUUUAACCACUAGGCUGAGUUUCCAGGAAGUCAUGCUAAGUGCAAAAUCCCCAUGCCAAUCCAGGGAGGCUUCAUGGAACAACAUUUUUAUUCUAUGGUUUUGAUAUGCCAGGGAUGGAGAAUGGAGGAAUGGUGGCUGCUAAGAGGAGAGCUCAGGAGGAGGCAGGAGCCCAUGGAUGCAAAAGUCCUCAUGGGGCUCUGUGCUGAUAGAUAUCAACUAUACUGGUGCUCACACAAUCAAUGUAUGUUGUAGACUUGCGUUCACAGGACACACCAAAACAUGUAACCUGUGACACCUCCAAAGAAUGGAGAAUUGUGCCCAUGCCCAGCUCUUGGUUUUCAUAUUGUAGUGUAUUUGUGCAGUGUUAUCACAGGGGGAAAUGGUCUG